GGGCUGGGGAUUCGAAACAUUUUUCAUUUACAGACAUUGUCGACCUCAAAUUCUUAGACAUUUGCUAAUGUUUCUUCUUAUCCACACGUCAGUCUUAAUUUAGUAAUGCUAUGAAUGAAUUGAAUCAAAAUCUUACAUUUCAGACAAAGUAUAAAUUUGCAGGCGUUAUCUGCCAAAGUAGGGUCCAAAAUUUCACCUUGGAACAUUCAAGCUUUUCCUUUAUUUGGACGCGAAUGCUAAAAAGAAAUCGACGAAGCCAGUCGAAAAUAGGGCCGUUAUUCCUAUUAUUUUUGGUAGCCAACCAAACUGGCCCUUCGCGUAGAAUUCUUUCUGCAGGGUUCGCCUUUGAACGUUACACUCCAAUGCCUGAACAUAUGCCUCGUUAAAUACAGUCGCAAAGUUGUAGGUGUGCAGCGGAACUGCGGUGUGCGUGCUUACUUUAUCCUGAAACAAAAUAAAUCUGGAAUAUAGCGACGGACAAUCAUCAUCAUACACAGGAAUUCAACACUAAAAAAAGGUAUAACUCUGAGACCCAUAAAAAAUGGCUCGGAGAUCCAUAAUUUCUGACCAAAGUGACUUACCGUCUACAGCAUGGCUUUCUGAGCCAUACUUUAUUGGUCGUGAACCUAUAAGCAUGGCUCCACGAACUAUAUUUUAUGGCUCCAUGAUCCAUAACUCGGCCGGUCACUCUAAAACCUCUCGGCCGGUAAAAGUCACUCUUCCCAUACUUGUUUUUUGAGUGAAGGUUUCAAGUAAAUCCCAAAUUUAAAACGGAAAAUCAACAAAAUAUUACUUAUUUUGUGCGUAUAUCAAGGCUUCCUCAAUGGCUGCCGACUUAUUGUUGGUUGUUGUUUUUGAUAGUGGACUAAGCCCACGCUCACUAUAUCUCUCUAUUUCAUAGUCUCAGGCUAUGUUGCUAAAUAUUAUGUUUAGAACUGCCAGUUUUUGUUAAUCGGAAGUUGCUUUUUCCAUAUGUAUACGGUGACAGGAAACUGCCCGCAGACGCAGGAUAUUUGAAAGGGGGUGUUUCAAACUACGCAAACUACGCCAUUAAUGAGAACAUUUCACAAUUUUUAAUGCCACCAUCGUAAUUUUUGUGCGACGUCACCCCCACUAAAUCUACUCACAUGGAUGUAUCUGUUGCGUGCAACAGACCGUUCCAAUCGCUGGAGGUAUCUACUGCUGGAUGGGAAAACACAAUGCAUUUCCCUAUAAUAAAAUUAUUGUUCGGUUUUUGGCUACUCAUACUUGAAAGGAAACAAAAUAUCGAGCUUUUAGCCAAUUCAAUGGAAGCGAAAGUAUGUAAUUUCAGGCUAUGCUUGACAAUAAAACAGAGUGCAAGAUAAUUACAUGCUCAUUUACAAAUUACCAUUGUACCAUGGUGACUUGUAGCCUGGUGGUGUCGUUUCAGCCUUGACUAUAACUUUCCAUCAGUGCAAUGAAAAAAUGUAGUAUGAACACUGGAAGGAUGCAAUCAUGGAACAAACCAAAAAGAAAAUCACUGUAGGUAGCUACAUGGUGUUAAAGGUUCAUAAACUACAAGGAGUGAAUUCUAAAGUCUACAAAGCAGUAAAGUAAAAUUAAAGCUAAAGUGCAAUCAGUCGUAAGGCUAAAAACACGAUCACUGUUUUUAAGCAAACAUGUAAUUCUUUUGCACUCCGUUUUGUUGUCAAGCAUGGCUAGAAUUUACAUAGUCUCGUUUCCACUGAAUCGGCUAAAAGCUCAGAUGGCGAUUCUUGGACUGAGAAUCGAUUCUUCAGGAUCGAUGUGAAUCGGCUAGGGAGGAGAAUCGAUCGGAUUCAAAGAUCGGGCCAAGAGAUCGAUCCAACGAUCCGAUCUUUCCUGCCGAUCUGAAAUUUCAAAAUUAGACAAUAUUAUAUGAUUUUUGUCAUGUGACGAUUCUGAAUCGAUUAAAGAUCGUCACGUGACGAUCUUUUUAUAUCUCUGUUUGUAAAAAACGAUCGAUCCACGCGAAAGAUCGGCGUGAAAGAAUCGAUCUUUUGGAAGAUCGAUCCAAGAAUCGCCAUCCCCAAGCUCAACCCUUCACUGGAAAAAACACAUUGAAUCUAGAGUUCAGACUCUUCAAAACAUCGACAAGAAAAAGUACUCUUGAUUCAAUCAGAAUCUAGGUCGAAUCAAGAACCAAGCCUCUUAAUUGAAGCGGAUUUCGUUUUGAUUCAAGCAAAAAUCCGAUUGAAUCAAGAG
rnacentral:lncRNA from 1 species